rnacentral:misc_RNA from 1 species
UACGUAGGGUCCAAGCGUUAUCCGGAAUUACUGGACGUAAAGCGUGCGUAGGUGGGAGUUCAAGUGAGAUGCGAAAUCUUGCGGCUCAACCGUAUAGACUGUGUCUCAUACUGGGCACCUAGAGGAUGGCAGAGGCAAGUGGAAUUACCGGUGUAGCAGUGAAAUGCGUAGAUAUCGGUAGGAACACCAAUGGCGAAGGCAGCUUGCUGGGCCACACCUGACACUGAGGUACGAAAGCGUGGGGAGCGAACAGG